GACGAACGCUGGCGGCGUGCCUAAUACAUGCAAGCCGAGCGCAGGAAGCCGUCUGAACCCUUCGGGGGGACGACGGUGGAAUGAGCGGCGGACGGGUGAGUAACACGUAAAGAACCUGCCCAUAGGUCUGGGAUAACCACGAGAAAUCGGGGCUAAUACCGGAUGUGCCAUCGGACCGCAUGGUCCGCUGAUGCAAGGCGCUCCGGCGUCGCCCAUGGAUGGCUUUGCGGUGCAUUAGCUAGUUGGUGGGGUAACGGCCCACCAAGGCGACGAUGCAUAGCCGACCUGAGAGGGUGAUCGGCCACACUGGGACUGAGACACGGCCCAGACUCCUACGGGAGGCAGCAGUAGGGAAUCUUCCACAAUGGACGAAAGUCUGAUGGAGCAACGCCGCGUGAACGAUGAAGGCUUUCGGGUCGUAAAGUUCUGUUGUAAGGGAAGAACAAGUGCCGCAGGCAAUGGCGGCACCUUGACGGUACCUUGCGAGAAAGCCACGGCUAACUACGUGCCAGCCGCCGCCGUAAGAC
rnacentral:rRNA from 1 species